AAGUUAGGCAUGUGUAAUAUACAUUAACCAACUUGAAGGGGAGUAUUAGAGUCCCUAACUUGUAGGAUUUAAUUGUUUAUUCUUUCCUAUUUGUAUUUAUUCUUCUCGAUUGUAUUUAUUAGUUUCCUAUUGUUUUAAUUUCCCUAAAAUACUUGUGUAUAAGUAGGAUCCAUGGAAAAGUUUGAAUUACAGAGAAAUACAUAAAAUUUCCUCCAAAUUAGUGGUGUCCACAACUCAUUUAACGAGUUGGCAAGUCAAGAUGCACAUAAAACAACCAUUGAAGAUGGAUAACAUAAUUAUUUAUUUGGUUAAUAUUUUUUAUCAUUUUAUCUUCAAAAUCACAAAUUUAAAUCUGACAUUUUUUAAAAAAUUACUCUUAAGUAGAAUAAUUAAAUAUUUAUAUGGGGUUAAGUUAGAGUUUAGUGGUGAACCUGUAACACAAUAUAAUAUCCAUGUUCCAACAUAAUAACCAUGUGAAAACACAAAAGAGAGGGCCAAUACUACUCGGGGAGUAUUAACAUAAAUUACAUGCAUGUUAAGGAGUUUGGAAAUGCUAGAAGCAGUACUUGUCACAAGCUUGCAUUCUUUUAUCAGUUUAUCCCUUAAAUGUUAUCUAUCGUACUUAUCCAAGGGCCAUUGGUUAAUUUGCCUAGUUUAACCCUAGCCAAGUAGAAAGAAGGGAAAUUUCAUCUCAUCAGGCACUUUGUAAAUGAACUAUAUUAAUAAAAGGAUAAUUACACAAACAAAUCAUUUUAUACCUGAAGUAUGCGAACUUUGUUG
rnacentral:misc_RNA from 1 species